GAUACGGCAAAAAUAAACCUGCUAAAUUUAACUACUGGUAAUUAACUACCAGCCGCAUCA
rnacentral:tRNA from 1 species